rnacentral:rRNA from 1 species
GAUGAACGCUGGCGGCGUGCCUAAUACAUGCAAGUCGAGCGAACGGACGAGAAGCUUGCUUCUCUGAUGUUAGCGGCGGACGGGUGAGUAACACGUGGAUAACCUACCUAUAAGACUGGGAUAACUUCGGGAAACCGGAGCUAAUACCGGAUAAUAUUUUGAACCGCAUGGUUCAAAAGUGAAAGACGGUCUUGCUGUCACUUAUAGAUGGAUCCGCGCUGCAUUAGCUAGUUGGUAAGGUAACGGCUUACCAAGGCAACGAUGCAUAGCCGACCUGAGAGGGUGAUCGGCCACACUGGAACUGAGACACGGUCCAGACUCCUACGGGAGGCAGCAGUAGGGAAUCUUCCGCAAUGGGCGAAAGCCUGACGGAGCAACGCCGCGUGAGUGAUGAAGGUCUUCGGAUCGUAAAGCUCUGUUAUUAGGGAAGAACAUAUGUGUAAGUAACUGUGCGCAUCUUGACGGUACCUAAUCAGAAAGCCACGGCUAACUACGUG